rnacentral:rRNA from 1 species
CCAGACUCCUACGGGAGGCAGCAGUGGGGAAUAUUGCACAAUGGGCGCAAGCCUGAUGCAGCCAUGCCGCGUGUAUGAAGAAGGCCUUCGGGUUGUAAAGUACUUUCAGUCGGGAGGAAGGUGUCAAGGUUAAUAACCUUGGCAAUUGACGUUACCGACAGAAGAAGCACCGGCUAACUCCGUGCCAGCAGCCGCGGUAAUACGGAGGGUGCAAGCGUUAAUCGGAAUUACUGGGCGUAAAGCGCACGCAGGCGGUCUGUCAAGUCGGAUGUGAAAUCCCCGGGCUCAACCUGGGAACUGCAUUCGAAACUGGCAGGCUAGAGUCUUGUAGAGGGGGGUAGAAUUCCAUGUGUAGCGGUGAAAUGCGUAGAGAUGUGGAGGAAUGCCGGUGGCGAAGGCGGCCCCCUGGACAAAGACUGACGCUCAGGUGCGAAAGCGUGGGGAGCAAACAGGAUUAGAUACCCCAGUA